GUGGCCUGGUAUCAUGUGUUGAUUCUCGUACUUUAAAUAUCGAUUCUCAUACCAUGGAUUGAGGUAUUGUACAUUGCUUAUCGUGCCGAGAUUUUCAAUUAACGUUAUUUGGGGGUAUGAUGUAUUGAUUGGUAUUGACAUGUCUUGUUGCACAGCUCUUGAGCACGAAACUAUGCAACAAAAUAUUUCUUAAUAUUUUAGUACGGGAACCCCAGGAACUUUGUCAGUUUCAAAACGAAAAACGGUAGAUGAAUGGAGUAACGAGGCUGAAAAUUCAUCCCCCCAAAAUGCUAAAUACGACAGGGAAAAACCGCGGAAAAAAAAUAAUAGUGUCCAGAACAGCAGGGCUGUCAAGUCUUAGGCGCGAGACUCACACAUGUUCAUGCUUAUUUGGCGGCAUUUUCCUUUGAUUUAUUUUUUUUUCUCUUUGAUCUUAACAAUUUGGC
rnacentral:lncRNA from 1 species